UUUUUUUUCUCUGGUGACUCGCUACUGGAAGAAGGGACCCUGAAGCUUGGUGCGCACUUGAUCUCGCUUCUCCUCCUUCUGCGUGAGGUUUACAGGUUUGGGGACACAAAUACCCACAUCACAAGUCCAAAUCAGUGUGAGACGCUCACCAGGAUUUGUUAUUCAGGCUGCUCUUCAUCAAGUUCAAGGCUCCUUCGGACAAACCAGGGAUCAUCUGAAGUUAUUCCCACUCAUCCUUCCAUCCAUCCUCCAGUAAAGAAAGUGUACCUUUGCUGCAGCGCUCUGUUGAAGGCCAUGAAGGGUCAAAGUUUUAGUGUAUUAGAGAUUUACAACAACAACAACACUACCAAGUCCAACCAGCGUUU